rfam:Salmo salar isolate Sally breed double haploid chromosome ssa10, whole genome shotgun sequence.
CACACUCACUACUGUAAGUCGCUCUGGAUAAGAGCGUCUGCUAAAUGACAUAAU